rnacentral:rRNA from 1 species
ACACGCCGCCCACUCCUACGGGAGGCAGCAGUGGGGAAUAUUGCACAAUGGGCGCAAGCCUGAUGCAGCCAUGCCGCGUGUGUGAAGAAGGCCUUCGGGUUGUAAAGCACUUUCAGCAGUGAGGAAAGGUUAGUAGUUAAUACCUGCUAGCUGUGACGUUAACUGCAGAAGAAGCACUGGCUAACUCCGUGCCAGCAGCCGCGGUAAUACGGAGGGUGCGAGCGUUAAUCGGAAUUACUGGGCGUAAAGCGUACGCAGGCGGUUUGUUAAGCGAGAUGUGAAAGCCCCGGGCUCAACCUGGGAACUGCAUUUCGAACUGGCAAACUAGAGUGUGAUAGAGGGUGGUAGAAUUUCAGGUGUAGCGGUGAAAUGCGUAGAGAUCUGAAGGAAUACCGAUGGCGAAGGCAGCCACCUGGGUCAACACUGACGCUCAUGUACGAAAGCGUGGGGAGCAAACGGGAUUAGAUACCCCGGUAGUCCACGCCGUAAACGAUGUCUACUAGGAGUUCGGUUUUUCGGAACUGUCUUCCAAAGCUAACGCAUUAAGUAGACCGCCUGGGGAGUACGGCCGCAAGGUUAAAACUCAAAUGAAUUGACGGGGGCCCGCACAAGCGGUGGAGCAUGUGGUUUAAUUCGAUGCAACGCGAAGAACCUUACCUACNCUUGACAUCCAGAGAACUUACUAGAGAUAGUUUGGUGCCUUCGGGAACUCUGAGACAGGUGCUGCAUGGCU